rnacentral:tRNA from 1 species
GACCCCGUAGCUCAGUUGGACCAGAGCAUCUGCCUUCUAAGCAGAGGGUCGCAGGUUCGAAUCCUGCCGGGGUCGCCA